GAUGAACGCUGGCGGCGUGCUUAACACAUGCAAGUCGAACGGAAAGGCCCAAGCUUGCUUGGGUACUCGAGUGGCGAACGGGUGAGUAACACGUGGGUGAUCUGCCCUGCACUUCGGGAUAAGCCUGGGAAACUGGGUCUAAUACCGGAUAGGAGCACUUCUUGGAUGGUGGGGUGGAGAGUGUUUUCGGUGUGGGAUGAGCUCGCGGGCUAUAGGCUUGUUGGGGGGGGAAUGGCCUACCAAGGCGUCGACGGGUGGCCGGCCUGAGAGGGGGUACGGCCACAUUAGGACUUAGAUACGGCCCCGACUCCUACGGGAGGCAGCAGUGGGGAAUAUUGACCAAUGGGCGCAAGCCUGAUGCAGCGACGCCGCGGGGCGGAUGACGGCCUUCGGGUUGUAAACCCCUUUCGCUAGGGACGAAGCGUUUUGUGACGGUACCUGGAGAAGAAGCACCGGCUAACUACGUG
rnacentral:rRNA from 1 species